rnacentral:lncRNA from 1 species
UCAAAUGGUAGUUCUACAUUUAGUUCUUAAAGGAAUAUCCACACUGUUUUCCAUAGCAGCUAUACUAGUUUACACUCCCACCAGCAGUAUAAAAGUGUUCCCUGCAGCCACACCACCAUCUACUGUUUUAUUGAUUUUUUGAUUAUGGCUACUCUUGCAGGAGUGAGGUGGUAUCGCAUUGAAGUUUUGAUUUGCAUUUCCUUUAUCAUUAGUGAUGUUGAGCAUCUUUUCAUAUGUUUGUUGGACAUUUGUAUAUCUUCUUUUGGGAAUUGUCUAUUCAUGUCCUUAGACCACUUUUUGAUGGGAUGGUUUUUUUUCUUACUGUUGUAUUUGAGUUUGUUGUAGAUUCUGGAUAUUAGUCCUUUGUCAGAUGCAUAGAUUGUGAAGAUUUUCUCCCACUCUGUGGGUUGUCUGUUUACUCUGCUGACUGUUCCUUUUGCUGUGCAAAUGCUCUUUAGUUUAAUUAGGUCCGAGCUAUUUAUCUUUGUUUUUACUGCAUUUGCUUUUGGGUUCUUGGUCAUGAAAUCCUUGUUUAAGCCAAUGACUAGAAGGGUUUUCCUGAUGUUAUCAUCUAGAAUUUUUAUAGUUUCAAGUCUUAGGUUUAUGUCUUUAAUCCAUUUUGAGUUGAUUUGUGUAUAAGGUGAGAGAUGAGGAUCCAGUUUAAUUCUCCUACAUGUGGCUUGCCAAUUAUCCCAACACCAUUUGUUGAAGAGGGUUCCUUUCCCUACUUUAUGUUUUCGUUUGCUUUGUUGAAGUUCAGUUGGCUCAAUAAAAGCUUCUUAAAACACCAUUUUGGCAUUUUUUUCUGAAAGAGAGAGUGAAGGAAAAUCUACAAACCGCAUUGUGAUCUAAACAAGACCGUCGGGACUAGAGAAGCAUGGCCAGGAGAAGGGACAGGGGAGAAAAUGUGGAAGGAGAGGAAGGAAGGAUAAUCCUGAGACUCUCAAAAGCAAAUAAUUGGAAAAAGUGGAAUAGAGAACUGGCUUGAGUUUACAAAUGAAUAAAUAAAACCCAGAUUUUUGUACUGACUGGUGUCGUGAUACUCUUACCUCUGCAAACCCACAGGCAGUUGCUUCAGACUUUUCCAAACACUAGAAAACCUCUUGAAGAAAUUUCAUAAUGUAACAGAAAGAAGAUUUAUUUUCACAUUUAUCAGUUCUGGAUUUCAAACAUGACAUUUACCAAAAGUCUAAUCUUGGAAUGGUAAACGUUUGAGAUUGAGUUUCUGUAUUAAUAAAGCAAAUAUACUUUUCUGAUAGAGGUUUUGAGAAGUAAAUGAGACAAUGUGUGUGAAAGUAACUAGAAAGUAGCUGACACAGAGCAGAUGUUCAAUAAAUGCUGAUUUUUCCCUUACCCAAUCUUCUGGACAAAGCAAAGAAACCAAGGCACAUUUGGGCCGGGCAUGGUGGCUCACAUCUGUAAUCCCAGCACUUUGGGAGGCCGAGGAAGGCAAAUCACAAGGUCAGGAGUUCGAGACCAGCCUGGCCAACACGGUGAAACCCUAUCUCUACUAAAACUACAAAAAAUUAGCCAGGCUUCAUGGUGGGAGCCUGUAAUCCUGGCUACUCAGGAGGCUGAAGCAGGAUAAUGACUUGAACCCGGGAGGUGUAGGUUGCAGUGAGCCAAGAUUGCUCCACUGUACUCCAGCCUGGGCGACAGUGAGAGGCUCCAUCUCAAAAAAAAAAAAAAGAGGGAAAAAAGAAACCAAGGCACAUUUGAAGCUAAAGGAAUAUCCAUUUAUGUUGUUCAAUGGGUCAGGGUGUAGUGAUCAUGGGGUGAGGAGUAGCCCCUCAUUUUCAGAAGCAGAGAAGGAUACCUUAAGUCUUCCAUCGCGCUUUGCCCUGGGAACCUAAGCAGUUAAUACUAUUUUCUUGAGGGGAGGGGAAUACUUAAGAUUUCAAAUUUAUGAUACCAUGAAUCUAUAUAAUUUUUAAACUAUAAACAUGCAUAGUCUAUUUGCAAGUGGGGUAAAACUUUGUGGAAUAUAAAAUUACCUUUAUAAUAAAAAAAAGCAAUGUAGUUACAAUAACAAUAAUAAAAAUCAGAUUUACAAAAAAUUUGAAAAUUACUUUCUCAAAUAAUUAUUAUGUCUGUAAAUAUUGUUUCCUGAUGUAUUUAAAA